rnacentral:rRNA from 1 species
UACGUAGGGUGCGAGCGUUGUCCGGAAUUACUGGGCGUAAAGAGCUCGUAGGUGGUUUGUCGCGUCGUCUGUGAAAUUCCGGGGCUUAACUCCGGGCGUGCAGGCGAUACGGGCAUAACUUGAGUACUGUAGGGGAGUCUGGAAUUCCUGGUGUAGCGGUGAAAUGCGCAGAUAUCAGGAGGAACACCGGUGGCGAAGGCGGUUCUCUGGGCAGUAACUGACGCUGAGGAGCGAAAGCAUGGGUAGCGAACAGGAUUAGAUACCCUGGUAGUCCAUGCCGUAAACGGUGGGCGCUAGGUGUAGGGGUCUUCCACGACUUCUGUGCCGUAGCUAACGCAUUAAGCGCCCCGCCUGGGGAGUACGGCCGCAAGGCUAAAACUCAAAGGAAUUGACGGGG